rnacentral:misc_RNA from 1 species
CACCCCACUCAAACCGCUCAGAGUUUGGAUCUGAUGAGUCGUGUGUGCGCAUGCGCGCGCAUCGACUUGAAGUGUACACUGAAUCGGGCCUAUGCAUACUGUGCAUGCGGUACUGACGUGAUAGUCUUUUUCAUGGACGCGCGUUUUCUCUUAAAGGAGGCGCACUCGUCAGGCUCAAUCCCACGUGCCAGUCAUAGUGACCUAGUCACACAACACACCAUUUGAAUC